UACGUAGGGUGCGAGCGUUGUUCGGAAUCACUGGGCGUAAAGGGAGCGUAGGCGGCGUGGUAAGUCAGAUGUGAAAUCCCGGGGCUCAACCCCGGAACUGCAUCCGAUACUGCCAUGCUAGAGGAUUGGAGAGGUAGCUGGAAUUCUUGGUGUAGCAGUGAAAUGCGUAGAGAUCAAGAGGAACACUCGUGGCGAAAGCGAGCUACUGGACAAUUCCUGACGCUGAGGCUCGAAGGCUAGGGUAGCGAAAGGG
rnacentral:rRNA from 1 species